AAGAAAAUAGCUUAAUGGUAAAGUCUUGGUUUCCAAAACCAAUUAUUGUAAGUUCAAGUCUUACUUUUCUUG
rnacentral:tRNA from 1 species